CUGUGGACCAAACGCCAGCCGGGAAAGCGAGCGUGUCGCUUGCCCGGUAAAUCCAGUAGUAGAGUUCACCAAGUGUGGCGCCAGCUUGAACCGUAGCCGUUUUAGCCACGGGGUCAACACUAAUGGCUCGGAGGUUAAUCAUGUCAAGUAACACAAAUGGAAUAUCAUAUGUGCUACUAUACGAAAGACCCUCGAAAUCAUGACCACCGCUUCGAAUUCGAAGCCUCAUUCCGUACUUUUUAGCACAAAAAACUACGGUUUGAACUUGAGAUUCGGCGGUGGGUUGCACUAUGAUUUGGGGUUUGAGUCGGGUGGAAUCAUUGAAACGAGGAUUCCGCAGGGAAUAUUCAUAGACAGGUGUGUAUGAAGCAUUGAGCGGGGUAUAAGUAACUUUUGUUAUGGAUGAGUCUAGAGAUUUACUCUUUAGGCAUUGAAGAAACUGUGUAGAAUCAGCAUAAGCUUGGGAUGAAAGAAAUGAAAUCACAAGGAAGAUUAACGAAAGAAAAGCAAAAUAAGGAGUACUAUUCAUUUUCAUCUCAACUUUUUUUUUUUUGUUGUUGUUGUUUGAUGUUUUGAGUUGUAAAAGGGUCCAUGAAUAUAUAGGCGUGGUCCAUACAAGUGGGGCAAUAAGUAUACAGAUAAUCUAAGAUUUCUAACACGAGGACCAAAAUGAAUUGAGGGAAAAGAGUGGUUUUGAUGUCAAUAAUGUUGCCGUUAGACUUGUCCUCUAUUCAUAACACGUUUUGGUCAGCUCCGAUUUCCUUUUGACUUCGUCUCCAAAUACCUUUCUAUCUUUCUUUGCAUGUUCGAUAAGGUUUUACUAUUCUAAAUAUAUCGACCCUGGUUUACUUGCAAUGUUGUCUGAAAAAGACGGUAGCCAAACUCAAAACCGGGUGCAGUGUAAUAUACAACAAUAAUAUAUUUGGAUCUCAAUCCUUUUAACUAAUUGUUGUAUCAUAUAGUAUUAUUAUCAUCAAUUAAGUAUAAAUUAAUCCUUCUAUUUUGAAAUACGAAUAAUUUGAAUUUUUAACAUACACUUCUAGAUUUUUUAACUGUAUACUCAAAACCAUUGUUUAUAAAAAAUUAUUUUUAAAACAAAAAUAUAUAAUUAAUUAUUUUAUAAUUUAAGCGCCCUAUAUUUCUAAAUAGGGAGUAUUUGAGAACAUUAACCAUAUAUGCAGAAAUGUAUACACACACAACAUGCAUGCAUGUGUUACAUCGUUAUCUGAUCGGGAAAGAAUCACGGGCUGCUAAGCACUGAAAUCGUCAUAAAUAUGAAAUGCAGAUAGGGAGCCUUUAAGAACAUGAAGUGGGUAAGUAAAUGUAUGGACCAAAAGUGUCCUUCGAUUGAUAUAAACAGGGACACCAGCAUUUUCAAUAGCGAAUUCAGCAUUGAAGUUCAAUAACGUUUCAUAGAUGGCAUGGGUCUCACGAUUGAAAUGUUUCGGACUUUAGAGACCACCUGCCGGGUCAUUAUUUAUUAUUGUCAUGUUCAAGUUCAACAGCCAUCCUUAUUAACUGCAUCGCACAAGAAUCCUCAUCAUCGCUUUACCUGAAGAACAUUAACAGUGUUUGAUCAAUUAGGCUGAAACUAAUCGGGCAUCAAUUGCAGGAUAUGCCUUUAAAAUUGGAUUUGACUUAACUUGAUCACUCAAAUUCGUAUAUUUAGGCAGAAAUAUUUGGAUUAAACUCGGUCCAGGUGAUAUAUAAUUUUCGACAAGGCCGGUCUUUAAAUAAAGCAACUAAGACGAACUUCUAGGAUACUAUUAUCUCAGAGUCAAAAGUAUGAAACUCUAUACAUAUAUAGUAUAUAAUGAUAAAUUUAUGUAUUUAUAUAUUUACAUGUUUUUGAAUUGAUUGUAUUAUUAAUCAUAAAAGAAUAAUUUUGUUAUAUCAUUAUAUAAUUUGAAUGUAUGUAAACAUUUCUUCUUAUGAUCAUGAAAGCUAGUGGCAUCCUGUCAAAAAAAAAAAAACUAGUGGCAUUAUUUUUAAAAUUCAUGUAAGACACUCAAAUUUCUAGAGAUGACCCUGAUUUUCGAUCCAGUAUUCGUCCGAAAAUAUUCUGCUGAUAUAUAAUUUUCAAUCGGGUAUUUGGAAGAUGAUGAAAUCUUAAAGUUCUUGACGACCUAAGAAAUUAUUAAUAAACUUUUAGUAGCCGUCUCGUUUUCUUUUGUUUUUCAUGAUAUUUACGUACAUACACAUAUGAUAUCUACUGUAAGUAAUUUAGACUUCCAUGUAUAGAUACAUCAAUAGCAAUAGAAAAACACACACACACAUAUAUAUAUAUAUAUAUAUAUAUAUAUAUAUAUAUAUAUAUUUUUCACAACAAUAGAAAAACAGAUAUGAUAUUAUAACAACAUUGGAGAUAUAUCAUACAUGUAAAUGCCACAAGUAAAAAUCUCAAAUGAUUAUUAAAAUAGUGGUACAUGUGGUUGGUAAAUUAACUUGUUGGGCCGCGCAACACCCUUUAACUCCGCAUUAGUAUGAUAUUGUCCGCUCUGGGCCGUGGCCAAGCCCGCACGGAUUUGCUUUCGGGCUCCUCCCAAAAGGCCUCAUACUAAUGGAGUUCUUUGGCUGCUUAUAUUCAAGAUAAAUCUUCUAUAUCUUUCCGAUGUGGGACUUGGGUUGAACCCACUCAACAAUCUCCCCUCAAUCCAAGAACCACCAAUCUUGUGACCCUUAUACCGCCGCUACUCAUUGAUUCCUCAUCUUGCGGGACGGCGGUACCGCUACUCAUUGAUUUCUCAUCUUGCGGGACACGCCGUCCGACCACCUUUGUCGGAAAGACUUUCGACACAAGCCGUCCAAGAUCUCCAAUCGUAGUUCUGGAGAGCCUCCCCCACAUCGCACAACUGCAGCCCGCAACCCCAAGAUCAACUUCUGAAAACCUGCCUCUGAUACCACUUGUUGGGCCGCGCAACACCCUUUAACUCCGCAUUAGUAUGAUAUUGUCCGCUCUGGGCCAUGGCCAAGCCCGCACGGAUUUGUUUUCGGGCUCCUCCCAAAAGGCCUCAUACUAAUGGAGUUCUUUGGCUGCUUAUAUUGAAGAUAAAUCUUCUAUAUCUUUCCGAUGUGGGACUUGGGUUGAACCCACUCAACAAAUUACUGGUUAAAUUCUUUGAUCCAGAAUAUUUUGAUCUUACACCGUCCACCGAGGCAUAUAAAAAGCUUCGAUUUUAACUCAUUCGAACUAAAGACUUCGUAGAUUCUAUUCUAGAACCCGAAAUUUGACGGACGAACCAAACUUUAAAAAUGAAAGUUGUUGUGAUAUUAGUUUAAUGGUAAACAUCUCCGGCGGCUUAAAGGUAGUUGACAUUGUUUAAUUGUUGUUUGACAUCAUUGUGAUAUACAUACAUGUAUACAGUAUGUCCAACUUGCCUGUGAAAUGUCGAUGAAAAUAUCUUCGUCGUGCAACCACCGGUGUUUACAAAUCUGCUAUUAAUGAUGGCUGCUAGGGCGAUUCUAUUUAUUUAUGACGUCGACAUUCAAAUUUUCUUAAUAAUAUAAUGAAAACAAAUUGGUAUCACAGAUAAAAUAAACAUUAUAAUUGUUGUAGCUUGAAUAAUUUGUUUUUAGACUUUAAGAUAAACUCAUAUAUAUUUAAAUACAUUCAAAAUUAUAUAUAAAAACACAUGCAUAGUUUAAUAUCAUGACACCAUUUAUGUGCUGACAUAAAACCCCUUAUAAAAUGUUAGUUGCAUAUAGGAAAUUUAUGAAAACUUGGCAAUAAAAACUGGUUCUCAAUUUUUUGAAAAUUUUAUCUAACAACAUGUAUGCUCAAUACACAAAUAUAUAAGUCAAAGUGGUGUAAAACGGUAUUUAUUCUAUUUUUAAUAUUUUCAGUAAAGAAAUGGAACUCAAUAUUGAGACAGAUCUAAAUGAUAAAUCACUCCACUAUCUUAACAUAUAUUAUUUGUGUUUGAAAAUCUAGGAGGUAUAUAUAUCUAAUUUUGAUUUUAAUAUAUUUAAAUAAUUAUAAAUUUUAAUAGAUUAUAUUUGAUUUUAAUUUUAUACUGAGUGUAGUAAUCUUGUAAUAAAAUUUAAUAGGGUUGGUGUAGAAUUCUUAUAAUUUAAGUAUAAUUUCUCAAAAUCUCAUGAAUUUAAAGAAAUUUUUGAUAAAAUAUACAAAAUAAUUCAACAAAAUCGAUCAUUCUAUAAAAUUCAAAAAAUACAUCAAAUUUGUAAUACCAACGUAUUUAAAUAAUAAUCAACAUGAUUUAAAAAUUUUAGCAAAUAUAAUAAUCAUUUCAUAGAUGCAAAAUUAAUUGAUUUACCCGAGGUCAGAUCCGAUCCAUCUGAUAUUCUUAAUUCUCAACAAACCUUAUCAUGAUGGUAACCAGAAACACAAAUCUCAUCAUGAUCUAAAAUGAGAAUAAUCAAUAGAAAAAAUGUUGAAUAAUCGCCACGCUGCACUUUAAUAUUGUUGUAUGUUUAUGGCGUAUUUAGAUUCGUUUCUUUGACAGGACUCAAAAGUAUGAAUGCAAGAUCCGUCUAAUGGCAGAAGAAGACGGAUGACGCCACAUGCUAGUUCUGCUCUGUAUAUAUAAAUAAAUAAAUUAAUAUUUUAUAUGAGUAAACAAAAAAAACCUUCUGAAUUCUGAAUAAACGAAAAAAAAUUAGAAAAUCUUGAUUGUUCAAGUGUCAUUUUGCCUUAUGAAUUUAUGUAUAUCUUUUAGUUCAGACUACCUUGGAUGAUGAUAGGGUCCGCAUGUGUUAAUUUAAAACAAAGAAAAAUUAUAAAAUAGAUUUUUUUUUUCUAUUAAUAGUAUGGAAGCAGCAUGAAAAAUUUGGCAUCCAGGUCAUUUGGAAAAAGUUUUAAGAAAAUUUUGACACCUAAUACUACCUAAAUUAAAUACUUCUAAUAUAAAAUAUUUUAUAUCCACCAUAUAUAAGAGUGAAAAAUAAGUUAAGAAUUUUUUUUUUAAUCUUUAACUGGAUUAUCAUUUUCAAUAUUUCACUCGAAAUGAAUUUUUUAAUGUUUUUGAUUCUGAAUUUUGCACAAUGAGUUGUUAGCUAGGUCUGUACUCCGUGUUGUAUAUAUAUCUAGACCUUAUCUACAGUACGCUACCUAUUUUUAAGUUUUUUUUGAUCGAAACCUAUUUUUAAGUUGGUGCAUGGACAGAUACACAAGACACGGGUUUUAGUCCUCCCAGUCAACUCGAGUACUCAACCUUCUGUAUCCAUCGCAGGAUAGUAUUUUCAAGCUGUGAUUUAUCGUCAAUUAUCAAUUAUAUUAAAAGAAACUCGUGAAAUAUUAACACCAGAAAUCUGCACGGUUUAUUAGCUUCUUUUUAUUAAAAUGUAGCUGCAUGCAUUACCCUCGGGAACUAUCUGAUCACAAGUGAUCACUGUCAGCUACUAAGCCCAAACUAGAAAAAAGAUACAAGAUAAAAGUGCAAACUAACAGAUCUAGAGAUGUGUAACGGAUUACACCAUACGUGCAGAACACAAAUCAUCACUGAUUCACACUUGUGUUUAAGAAACCUGUCACAUAUCUGACCAGAGUGACAGAGUAGGAAUACUUUGCUCUUGUCUGAAGAAGUUCUCAGGAUCUACUCUGGUCUUCACCAUAACCAGUGUUUUGAAAUUAUGGUUGUAAUAUUGUUUUCCCCAUUUUCUUGCAUCGAGAUAACCUAUACUCCCUGUGGGAUCAUUCACUCCCAAAUCAAGAUCAUUGUAAUUAGAAUAAGCCCUUCUCGGAUUUUUCGAAACAUACGGAGCCAAGUAACUGUACAAGCUCCUGAUCCAUUCCAACUUCUCAGUUGUAUUCCCAACCCAGAGCACUCUUGUGUACACCAUGUACAAUGUUCCGGCUCUGUUAGGGAAUGGAAGAGCUGAUUCCGAAUACUCGUCCAUUUUUCCUCCGUAAAAUGUAAAGAUGACUGUGGUUUCCCCUACGCCAACUUCCAACAUCUUGUUCCAAAAUCCAUUCAGCCCUUUUUUGGAAAUCGGUUCUCUAACGAAAUCAGAUUUUGCUUUCGUAGGAAUGUCAGCCAAGAAUGUUCUGUCGAGCAAAUCUUCUGGCUUGUAAUUAUCGUCGAAGAGGUUAAAGAAGGAAGAUAUCAUAAUAGCUUGAAUCCAUGUGAGUUCUACAAAAUCCUCUUUAACCAUACCUAAUUCGGGCAAAGUUGAUUGCACAAUUUUAAGUGCUGCUUCAACUCCACCCGUACCAAGGUAUAAUCCCCCAAUGGCGAAUUCGACUGUUUUGCCAUCGGCACGAGCACUUGUAUUGCUCUGAAUUGUGCUGAUUCGCAUCCUCAUCUCGAGUUCAUUUGGAAAUUUCGGGGCAACACUUUGCAUGGCAUAAAUAAUAUCAGUCGCAUUCUGUUCCAAAGUUCUGAAAAGAGUAAAAGACAGAACUGUUUUUGGAACAACAACGAGGUUUAGUUUCCAAGAUAAAAUGACUCCGAAACUCGAACAACUUCCACCUCUUAUCGCCCAAAACAAAUCUUCUCCCAUUGCUUUCCUAUCAAGAAUCCUUCCUUUCACAUCGAUAAUCCGAGCAUCGAUCACAUUGUCAGCAGCCAAACCAUACAUACGUCUCAACGGGCCGUACCCGCCGCCACAAAUUAGUCCAGUGGCUCCAACUGUGGACCAAACGCCAGCCGGGAAAGCGAGCGUAUCGCUUGCCCGGUAAAUCCAGUAGUAAAGUUCACCAAGUGUUGCGCCAGCUUGAACCGUAGCCGUUUUAGCCACGGGGUCAACACUAAUGGCUCGGAGGUUAAUCAUGUCAAGUAACACAAAUGGAAUAUCAUAAGUGCUACUAUACGAAAGACCCUCGAAAUCAUGACCACCGCUUCGGAUUCGAAGCCUCAUACCGUACUUUUUAGCACAAUAUACUACGGUUUGAACUUG
rnacentral:lncRNA from 1 species